CCUACGGGAGGCAGCAGUGGGGAAUAUUGCACAAUGGGGGAAACCCUGAUGCAGCAACGCCGCGUGAGUGAUGACGGCCUUCGGGUUGUAAAGCUCUGUCUUCAGGGACGAUGAUGACGGUACCUGAGGAGGAAGCCCCGGCUAACUACGUGCCAGCAGCCGCGGUAAUACGUAGGUGGCGAGCGUUGUCCGGAUUUACUGGGCGUAAAGGGGGCGUAGGCGGACUUUUAAGUGAGAUGUGAAAUACCCGGGCUCAACCUGAGUGCUGCAUUUCAAACUGGAAGGCUAGAGUGCAGGAGAGGAGAAUGGAAUUCCUAGUGUAGCGGUGAAAUGCGUAGAGAUUAGGAAGAACACCAGUGGCGAAGGCGAUUUUCUGGACUGUAACUGACGCUGAGGCUCGAAAGCGUGGGGAGCAAACAGGAUUAGAUACCCUUGUAGUC
rnacentral:rRNA from 1 species